rnacentral:lncRNA from 1 species
UGAUAGGAGCAGGAGCAGCAAAAACGGGCUCGUUACGGAUAAGGGUUGGAACGGAACGGGAGGAGGAGGAGGAGGAAGAAGAAGAAGGGAGGCAAGCGACGGUGGGAGAAGAACGAAGAGAGAGCUUUUGGAGAGAAGAUUGAGAAGGAGAAAGAGAGGUGAGGAAGAAGCCGGAGAGAGGAGCGGUCGACAUUUGCUGGUGAAGAGAAGUUUAUUAGUGAGAGAGUGGUAUGUAUUUUUAUAGUAAUAUAUAGACUUAUGGAAGCUACUUAAAGUGAAAAUAUUAUGGGAAUGGUGAAAGAUUUUGAGGGU